rnacentral:miRNA from 2 species
UUCGUUUAUUUGGACUAGAGU